CUCAAGGGGCUGCCAAGUUUUUGUUGACUCAGGGAAUUCAAACAUUCAUGGUCCAGCGGCUAUGAUCAAGGACAUCAAUGAUAGUAUCAAACUAUCACCAGAUUGCUCAAAUUAUAAGAAGCUGCCUGAUGUAACCUUAACAAUUGCUGGAAGGAGUUUCUCAGUCAGUCGUCGUGAUUAUAUAUACAAGGUGAACAAAAAUGAGUGCUUAAGUAGAUUCGUGGAGACAAAAGAUGAAUACUGG